AGCAGCCGCGGUAAUUCCAGCUCCAAUAGCGUAUAUUAAAGUUGUUGCAGUUAAAAAGCUCGUAGUUGAAUUUCGGGAUCAGUGGGUCGGUCGUGCCAAUGGUAUGUACUGGCCCUACUGAUUCCUCCUUCUUGAAGAACUGUAAUGCCAUUAAUUUGGUGUUGCAGGGAAACAGGACUGUUACUUUGAAAAAAUUAGAGUGUUUAAAGCAGGCAAUCGCUUGAAUACAUUAGCAUGGAAUAAUGAAAUAGGACGUUCGAUCCUAUUUUGUUGGUUUCUAGGAUUGACGUAAUGAUUAAUAGGGAUAGUUGGGGGCAUUAGUAUUCAAUUGUCAGAGGCGAAAUUCUUGGAUUUAUUGAAGACUAACUACUGCGAAAGCAUUUGCCAAGGAUGUUUUCAUUAAUCAAGAACGAAAGUUAGGGGAUCGAAGACGAUCAGAUACCGUCGUAGUCUUAACCAUAAACUAUGCCGACUAGGGAUCGGAUGAUGUUAAUUUUUAAAUGACUCA
rnacentral:rRNA from 1 species